CCUACGGGGGGCAGCAGUGAGGAAUAUUGGUCAAUGGACGCAAGUCUGAACCAGCCAUGCCGCGUGCAGGAAGACGGCUCUAUGAGUUGUAAACUGCUUUUGUACGAGGGUAAACGCAGAUACGCGUCUCUGUCUGAAAGUAUCGUACGAAUAAGGAUCGGCUAACUCCGUGCCAGCAGCCGCGGUAAUACGGAGGAUUCAAGCGUUAUCCGGAUUUAUUGGGUUUAAAGGGUGCGCAGGCGGUCGGAUAAGUUAGAGGUGAAAUCCCGAGGCUCAACUUCGGAAUUGCCUCUGAAACUGUUCGGCGAGAGAGUAGUUGAGGUAGGCGGAAUGUAUGGUGUAGCGGUGAAAUGCUUAGAGAUCAUACAGAACACCGAUUGCGAAGGCAGCUUACCAAGCUACUUCUGACGUUGAGGCACGAAAGCGUGGGGAGCAAACAGGAUUAGAUACCCUGGUAGUC
rnacentral:rRNA from 1 species